UCCUCUUCCCAAAAGGUUUCCUCAUUUCCCACGCAGCAGCAGUGCCUCUCCUAGUUUCUCCAUGGAAGAAUUCUAUUUAAUCCACCGAUCUCUUAAUAAUCCACCACCAUAUUUUUCAAUGUUUUUCCCAUCUCUCUUCAACUUCAAUCCAUCCAUUAUUUCAGUUUCUCACAUCCCUCUUUUCUGAUAUCAUAUUGUAACCCUAAGAAUCAAUUUCUCACUAAAAAGCUUACAAAUAGUCUUUGAGAUUGAUGGUGACCAGGAGGAGAGGAGCAUGAGAAUUUGAAAAGGUGCACAUAAAUCAAGUGGAGUUUCUCAAAUUUUAGUUUGAACGCAACUAACCUGAAUAAAGCUUUACAAGAUUGAGGCUUUUUUAUAUAAACUUUAACCAGAUGGUGCAAAGGGAAUCAAGCAGCUAUUUGCGUAUAUUGAUAAAGGGAAAGCAUCAUAUAUUUGCACAUUGUAAUGGGGUGGAUCUCU